GGGACACAGAGGCUUUUUUUCCCCUAAUAACAAAAUUGCCUUCAGUGAGAAACUCCUGGCAGGCUGGCUUUUUACAAGGCAAAUGUAUUCCAGGAGAUGAGGCUGUGACCCCAGGCUUCUGUGGAAAAGGAGUCAGGGUUGACUGGCCAGCUGAAAGCUCCUGGAGUUCCAUAACUGGGGUAGUUGCUCCAGGGUGGAGAGGCAGCCUACAGGAUGGUCAGGCCAGAGCAGAACAAACUGAGAUGGGCUUUGGAAAAUCCAUAAGAUAAAAUCAUGAGCUGGCAGCAGCCUUGUGAAUUGGGCUGUCCUACAAAGGCUCCUAAAGCUGAAGCUCCAAUACUUUGGCCACCUGAUGCAAAGAGUCGACUUACAAGAAAAGACCCUGAUGCUGGAAAAAAUUGAGGGCAGGAAGAGAAGAGAACAGCAGAGGACAAGAUGGCUAGAUAGCAUCACUGACUCAACAGACGUGAAUCUGAGCAAACUCUGGAAGAUGGUGAAGGACAGGGAAGCUGGGUGUGCCGCAGGCUGUGGGGGUCACAAAGAGCUGGACAUGACUUAGCAACUGAACAGCAAGAAGAAACAAAGGCUCCUGAAACUAUUAUAUUGUUGAAAACCACCAUGCCUUUGCACAUGCUAUUUCUCCCACUUGGAAUGCACUUCCCCCCUCCUUUGCCUACCUGUUUGUCUGUUUGAACCCAGCAUAUGAUCACCUCCCUGGAAGCCAUUCCUGACCACCAGUCCCCAGCAUCGGAUUUCAUAUUCUGGGAGAAUCUGUUUUCCAAAGAUUCAGAUAACAUCUGCAACACUUACCAAACAGGUGGUAAUUGUCACUUCACUUCUCCCCUCCCUGCCUGGACUGUAAGCCCCUAUCCCCUGAGGACACAGAACUCUAUGAGCCCCUUCUGGAAAAGAGGAACAAGAGCAAAUGGCACAUCCCUCUCCAUCUCCCCUAUGGACAGUGCUCUUUGUGGACUACUGCAACUGAUUUUCUCAUAACACAAUGAAGUAAGUGGACAGGUAUUAUUAUUCUCCUUUCAUAGAAAAGAAGCAAGAAUAAGUGACUUGUCCAAGGUCACACAGAUGCAUGGAGCUGAGACUUGAACCUGGGUAUUCAAUUCCAAUUCCAGAACUCUUCCCACUAAUAUGGAAAGUGUCAGAGGUGGUUUCAUAAAGUAAACUGCUCAUCAGACUCCGAAGUCAUCAUAGCCCUGAAAGUGGACAGCUGGAGUUACCAUUAGCUGAAAUUUUUAAAAGAAGCUAAUACAAAAAGGUUUAAAAUAUAUAUAUACAGGAAGAGCUUGCCUCUUCUGAAAUUGACAUUGGGUGAAUGUUCUUUAGAAAUAUUCUCUAGUGAAUUUCUAUCUUAGACCCAGAAGUUUUGGGCAGAAUGAAAGAAAAUGAAGUAGUUUCCCCAACUGAGAGACCCAGCAAACACAAGUUUUCAAGUUAAAAUUUACAUACUACUUAGUUUGAUCUUCGGAGAAGGCAAUGGCAUCCCACUCCAGUAUUUCUGCCUGGAAAAUCCCAUGGAUGGAGGAGCCUGGAAGGCUGCAGUCCGUGGGGUCGCUGAGGGUCGGACACGACUGAGCUACUUCACUUUCACUUUUCCCUUUCAUGCAUUGGAGAAGGAAAUGGCAACCCACUCCAGUGUUCUUGCCUGGAGAAUCCCAGGGACGGGGGAGCCUGGUGGGCUGCCGUCUAUGGGGUCACACAGAGUCGGACACGAUUGAAGUGACUUAGCAGCAGCAGCAGCAGUAGUUUGAUCUUAAAUUUCUCAAAAUCUCCCUUCUCAUUCAUCGCCUGGUGCCCACAGCAAAAAUAUCACACUUAGGCACUUCAUUUUAUCUUAAAAGAUAAAACAAUACCAACCAACAAGCAAAUACAAGAAACAUCUUCCCUCAGUCCUGUCUUCCUUUUCUGUCCUGCACUAGGCUUCUAGGAAGAUCUUUCCCAAGUUCUCCACAUCUCCUCUCAAGUCCACUAUCCACUCCACUUGCUUCAUUUGGAGCCCCUUUCUUUCUCCCGGACCAUUGAUGCAGCCUCUUGACCUAGGCUUAUCCUCCCCACUGCCCACCAACACGAGCUCUCCAAAACCCCAGUGUUACAAACAGGGCUCCGUCUAUGACUCAGCCAGGUCUUAGGCUCUGACAUGGUUUCAUUCAAAGGCCUGGGGUGGACAGAAUAUAGGACUCAUCCUACAGGGUCCACCUCCUAGGCCCUGGGACCUGUGAUAAGUUACCCAAACAUGGAGAAAGGAACUCUGCAGCUAUGAUGAAGCUGGGGAUCCAGAGAUGAGGCAAGUAGCCUAGAUUAUCCAACUGAACCCAAUAUAACCACAGGGCUCCUUAUAUGUGGAAAAGGGAAGCAAGGGAGAAUAAAAGAGAAAGUGAUUUGGAGAUGCUACA
rnacentral:lncRNA from 1 species